rnacentral:rRNA from 1 species
GAUGAACGCUGGCGGCGUGCCUAAUACAUGCAAGUCGAGCGAACAGACGAGGAGCUUGCUCCUCUGACGUUAGCGGCGGACGGGUGAGUAACACGUGGAUAACCUACCUAUAAGACUGGGAUAACUUCGGGAAACCGGAGCUAAUACCGGAUAAUAUAUUGAACCGCAUGGUUCAAUAGUGAAAGACGGUUUUGCUGUCACUUAUAGAUGGAUCCGCGCCGCAUUAGCUAGUUGGUAAGGUAACGGCUUACCAAGGCAACGAUGCGUAGCCGACCUGAGAGGGGGAUCGGCCACACGGGAACUGAGACACGGUCCAGACUCCUACGGGAGGCAGCAGUAGGGAAUCGUCCGCAGUGGGCGAAAGCUUGACGGAGCAACGCCGCGUGAGUGAUGAAGGUCUUCGGAUCGGAAAACUCUGUUAUUAGGGAAGAACAAAUGUGUAAGUAACUAUGCACGUCUUGACGGUACCUAAUCAGAAAGCCACGGCUAACUACGUG